rnacentral:rRNA from 2 species
AAAUUGAAGAGUUUGAUCAUGGCUCAGAUUGAACGCUGGCGGCAGGCCUAACACAUGCAAGUCGAGCGGCAGCGGGAAAGUAGCUUGCUACUU